UACGUAGGGGGCGAGCGUUGUCCGGAAUCAUUGGGCGUAAAGAGCGCGUAGGCGGCCCGACAAGUCCGCUGUGAAAGUCAAGGGCUCAACCCUGAAACUGCAUUCGAUACUGCCUGGCUAGGGUACUGGAGAGGAGACUGGAAUUUACGGUGUAGCAGUGAAAUGCGUAGAUAUCGUAAGGAAGACCAGUGGCGAAGGCGAGUCUCUGGACAGUUACCGACGCUGAGGCACGAAGGUCAGGGGAGCAAACGGG
rnacentral:rRNA from 1 species